rnacentral:rRNA from 1 species
UACAGAGGGGGCAAGCGUUAUUCGGAAUUAUUGGGCGUAAAGGGCGCGUAGGCGGUCUGCUAAGCGUGUGGUGAAAGCUCGGGGCUCAACCCCGAGUCGGCCGUGCGAACUGGUGGACUGGAGCAUGUCAGAGGCAGGCGGAAUUCCGGGUGUAGCGGUGGAAUGCGUAGAGAUCCGGAAGAACACCGGUGGCGAAGGCGGCCUGCUGGGACAUUGCUGACGCUGAGGCGCGACAGCGUGGGGAGCAAACAGG